UACGAGUGCCCCAAGCGUUAUCCGGAAUUAUUGGGCGUAAAGGGUGUGUAGGUGGUCUAGUUAGUCUCAUGUCAAAUUCUUCGGCUUAACCGGGGUACCGCAUGGGAUACGGCUAGACUAGAGGAUGCGAGGGGUGAAUGGAACUCAUGGGAGUAGGGGUGAAAUUCGUAGAUAUGGGGUGGAACACCGGUGGCGAAGGCGGCCAUCUGGACGACAACUGACGCUGAGACGCGAAAAGCGUGGGGGAGCAAACAGG
rnacentral:rRNA from 1 species